rnacentral:rRNA from 1 species
GCUCCAAUAGCGUAUAUUAAUGCUGUUGCAGUUAAAAAGCUCGUAGUUGAAAUUUGGAGUUUUUGUAGUUUGGUCUGCCUCGAAGGCAAGUACUAGCUGCAAGGCUCUAUACUUAGUAACAACAUAUACUGGUGCUUAACUGUGCGAGUAUCUUGGGAAGGGGCAACCUGACUCAGGGGUGAGGGAUGCUAUGGUGUUGUUUGGGGAGACCUAGGCGACAUGCGUGGUGUCUCUGGCAAUGUUUUACUUUAUUUACUUUGAAAAAAUUAGAGUGUUCAAAGCAGGCCUUAGGGCCAUUGUAUAUUUUAGCAUGGGAUAAUAGAGAAAGACAUCCGUUUUAUUUUGUUGGUUUUUUAGAACGAUUGUAAUGAUUAAAGGGGACAGUUGGAGAUGUUUGUAUUGAAGCGUCAGCGGUGAAAUGCUCAGAUUGCUUUAAGACAAACUUCUGCGAAAGCAUUCAUCUAGGAUGUUUUCAUCAAUCAAGAACGAAAGUUGGGGGAUCGAAGACGAUCAGAUACCGUCGUAGUCUCGACCAUAAACAAUGCCGACUUAGGAUUGGGAAACGUUAAUUUUCAUGACUCUCCCAGCACUAUAUGAGAAAUCAAGAGUCUUUGGGUUCCGGGGGGAGUAUGGUCGCAAGGCUGAAACUUAAAGGAAUUGACGGAAGGGCACCACCAGGCGUGGAGCCUGCGGCUUAAUUUGACCCAACACGGGAAAACUUACCAGGUCCAGACAGCGUUAGGAUUGACAGAUUGAUAGCUCUUUCAUGAUUCGUUGGGUGGUGGUGCAUGGCCGUUCUUAGUUGGUGGUGUGAAUUGUCUGGUUGAUUCCGUUAACGAACGAGACCUUCUUCUUUCAAUAGCCACUGGAAGAUAUUGCAUUAAGGCUGUAAGGGCUUGCUUUUGGCAGGAUCCGUUCCCCAGAGGUAAUGUACCUUGCAGUUGCUUUUCUUCCAGGAUGAGCUUCUUAAAGAGACUAUUUGUGACAAGCAAAUGGAAGUUGUAGGCAAAAACAGGUCUGUGAUGCCCUUCGAUGUUCUGGGCUGCACGCGCGCUACACUGAUAAAGUCAACGAGUUUACAACCUUUCCCGAAAGGGAUGGGUAAUCUUUUGAAACUUUAUCGUGAUGGGGAUAGAAGAUUGCAAUUAUUUUUCUUGAACGAGGAAUGCCUAGUAAUAGUGGUUCAUCAGACUGCUGUGAUUACGUCCCUGCCCUUUGUACACACCGCCCGUCGCUCCUACCGAUUGAAUUGUCCGAUGAAAUUUUUGGAUUACGGGUUUUGUCUUACUACUAGUUCGCUAGUAGUAACGCCUGUGAAAAGUUAAUUAAAUCUUACAAUUU